UACGGAGGGGGCUAGCGUUGUUCGGAAUUACUGGGCGUAAAGCGCACGUAGGCGGACUGUUAAGUCGGGGGUGAAAUCCUGGGGCUCAACCUCAGAAUUGCCUUCGAUACUGGCAGCCUUGAGUACGGGAGAGGGGAGCGGAAUUCCCGGUGUAGAGGUGAAAUUCGUAGAUAUUGGGAAGAACACCAGUGGCGAAGGCGGCUAACUGGCCCGUAACUGACGCUGAGGCGCGAAAGCGUGGGGAGCAAACAGG
rnacentral:rRNA from 1 species